UCUUAUGGAUCAACAAAUAAAGUGGUUUCUUGAAGUGGGAUCUACUUCUGGUGAAGAUGCUGUGAA
rnacentral:pre_miRNA from 1 species